CAGAGUUGGUGUGUGUCCAAGCCACAGGGGUCUCUGAAGCGUGGGGUUUUGAAACACAAUCCCAUCUGAGAUAAAACUCUGGAGGGAGGUACCACCUGGCAGGCAGACAGCUUGGACACAGACAGGGUAUAGGUGGGGAGUGGAUGGAGGCCUGAACCAAAGGAGGGGUGCUUGAUCCCAGGUCAGUGAGAGCAUGAAGUUCCUGUGCCACAGACUAAGGAACCAGGUCUAUAUAUAUUACAUUAAGUUCAAACCUGGCAAGUCUCCUCCUUGACACCUACUGCUGGAUGAUGUUGGCUCUGUUACAAAUGAGAAAAUGUGAAGAUCCUCAAGUGACUUAGAGCACAAUUGCAAGGAGACAAUAAAGACAUGUCACCUGAACUUGCCUACCUAAUGUAGCCCUACAGGAGUGGUUCUGAACCAUGGACACUUUUGGUUCCCAGAGGACAUUUGCCAAUUUGUGGAGACAUUUUUGGUUGUCGCACAUAAGCCAUCUAGUGGAUGGAGGCCAAAGAUGCUGCACAUCCUGCAAUGUAUAGAAGAACCCACUCACUAUAACCAAGAAUUAUUUGGUCCAAAAUAUGAAAUCAUCAGUAGUGCCAAAGUGGAGAAACCCUGCUCUAGAGGGCUGUGGCCAUGCUUAUAAAAACAUCUCUCUCUAGAGGA